AAAUUUUAUUUCAAUUACAGUGAGUGUUUGUGAGUGGUAUCCAGAGCUUGGAAGAAUAUAGUGUUGGGAAAAAUAGCAUAAGUUAAAAAAAUCAAGACACAAUCACAACACAAGAAUAUAACGUGGAAACUCCAAAACCGGAGAAAAAACCACGACCGCUGCCUAAACCAGCAACCAGAGAAUUAAUACUAUGUGAAAAUUGUUACAACACAUAGACUUCUCUCACUCACACCCCAGACACCCCAGCACAACCACACUCUUACAAAGCAAAUAUAUAAACUAAGUUAGAUACAAGCUUAAAGUGCUAUUGCUGACUGGUGCAUUUGAAAACAA
rnacentral:lncRNA from 1 species